UGGGAAUGUGGCUCACUGUUCCAUCCCUUGUAGAGUUUCCUACUGGGUCUCCACUGGGUCACCCACUGGAGCAAGCCUCAUUCAACCAGAACAGGCUGCCUUUCAUGGCCCCACAGAUCUGCCAUAAGCACAACAUUUAACGUGAAGAGAAAAAGUGUUCUAGAUGAGUUCGUGGAAAUGCUAGAUUACAAAAGCUUAACAGCUCUGCAGAGAGAGCCACGUACGUGUCACUGAGGCGUAAGGAGAAUGUGACAAGAACUUUGUUCUUUUACUAAUUCUGACCUCAGAAUCAAAUCAGCUGCCCUCGUGAAUCGUAUCUCUCCAACUGCAUCUUGGCAAGGUAAGGGAAUUUGGCUGCAAUGAAGAGUGAAGGAUUUUUGCAUCUUCCAACUUCAGAAUAGCAAAGAGAGCGCGGAGGCAGAUGGAUGAGAUGAAGAAAUGGCACCCAACUCUGGAUUUGAACAUCUCUUAGACAAGAGGUGGGGGGAAAUAACAAGCCGAGAUAGAAAAGCCAUUUAGUUCUCAUGGCUCUGUUCCAGGACUCUUUAAUUUGCCAGUAGCUGUUUUUCCUGCACAGAUUACAGGAGUAAUUCAUCAGCGAAUGUUUCACUCGGCGGUCUCAUCUAAUGUAAG
rnacentral:lncRNA from 1 species